rnacentral:rRNA from 1 species
UUGGUCAAUGGCCGAGAGGCUGAACCAGCCAAGUCGCGUGAGGGAUGAAGGUUCUAUGGAUCGUAAACCUCUUUUAUAAGGGAAUAAAGUGUGGGACGUGUCCUAUUUUGUAUGUACCUUAUGAAUAAGGAUCGGCUAACUCCGUGCCAGCAGCCGCGGUAAUACGGAGGAUCCGAGCGUUAUCCGGAUUUAUUGGGUUUAAAGGGUGCGUAGGCGGCCUUUUAAGUCAGCGGUGAAAGUCUGUGGCUCAACCAUAGAAUUGCCGUUGAAACUGGGGGGCUUGAGUAUGUUUGAGGCAGGCGGAAUGCGUGGUGUAGCGGUGAAAUGCAUAGAUAUCACGCAGAACCCCGAUUGCGAAGGCAGCCUGCCAAGCCAUUACUGACGCUGAUGCACGAAAGCGUGGGGAUCAAACAGGAUUAGAUACCCUGGUAGUCCACGCAGUAAACGAUGAUCACUAGCUGUUUGCGAUACAGUGUAAGCGGCACAGCGAAAGCGUUAAGUGAUCCACCUGGGGAGUACGCCGGCAACGGUGAAACUCAAAGGAAUUGACGGGGGCCCGCACAAGCGGAGGAACAUGGGGUUUAAUUCGAUGAUACGCGAGGAACCUUACCCGGGUUUGAACGCAUUCGGACCGAGGUGGAAACACCUUUUCUAGCAAUAGCCGUUUGCGAGGUGCUGCAUGGUUGUCGUCAGCUCGUGCCGUGAGGUGUCGGCUUAAGUGCCAUAACGAGCGCAACCCUUGCCACUAGUUACUAACAGGUGAUGCUGAGGACUCUGGUGGGACUGCCAGCGUAAGCUGCGAGGAAGGCGGGGAUGACGUCAAAUCAGCACGGCCCUUACAUCCGGGGCGACACACGUGUUACAAUGGCGUGGACAAAGGGAGGCCACCUGGCGACAGGGAGCGAAUCCCCAAACCACGUCUCAGUUCGGAUCGGAGUCUGCAACCCGACUCCGUGAAGCUGGAUUCGCUAGUAAUCGCGCAUCAGC